rnacentral:rRNA from 1 species
UACAGAGGUCCCGAGCGUUGUUCGGAUUCACUGGGCGUAAAGGGUGCGUAGGUGGUGAGAUAAGUCGGAUGUGAAAGCUCGGAGCUCAACUCCGAAAUGGCAUUGGAAACUAUCUCGCUCGAGGGUUGGAGGGGGGACUGGAAUGCUUGGUGUAGCAGUGAAAUGCGUAGAUAUCGAGCGGAACACUAGUGGCGAAGGC